UAUAGGCAGUGGCUUGGUUAAGGGAACCCACCAGAGCCGUAGUGAAAGUGAGUCUUCAUAGGGCAAUUGUCACUGUAUAUGGAUCUGAACCUGAGUGAUCUAUCCAUGACUAAGAUGAAGCUUGGGUGAAACUAAGUGGAAGUCGGUUCCGAACCGAUUGACGUUGAAGAAUCAACGGAUGAGUUGUGGUUAGGGGUGAAAUGUCACUCGAAUUUAGAGCUAGUUGG
rnacentral:ncRNA from 1 species